rnacentral:rRNA from 1 species
GAUGAACGCUGGCGGCGUGCCUAAUACAUGCAAGUCGAGCGAACAGACGAGGAGCUUGCUCCUCUGACGUUAGCGGCGGACGGGUGAGUAACACGUGGAUAACCUACCUAUAAGACUGGGAUAACUUCGGGAAACCGGAGCUAAUACCGGAUAAUAUAUUGAACCGCAUGGUUCAAUAGUGAAAGACGGUUUUGCUGUCACUUAUAGAUGGAUCCGCGCCGCAUUAGCUAGUUGGUAAGGUAACGGCUUACCAAGGCAACGAUGCGUAGCCGACCUGAGAGGGUGAUCGGCCACACUGGAACUGAGACACGGUCCAGACUCCUACGGGAGGCAGCAGUAGGGAAUCUUCCGCAAUGGGUGAAAGCCUGACGGAGCAACGCCGCGUGAGUGAUGAAGGUCUUCGGAUCGUAAAACUCUGUUAUUAGGGAAGAACAAAUGUGUAAGUAACUAUGCACGUCUUGACGGUACCUAAUCAGAAAGCCACGGCUAACUACGUGC